AAACGAUUGAAGUCAGUCGUACCGAUGGGUAAUCAGCCUUUUGGGUGCGAUUAUGUGGUACGUGGAAAGAUUUCACGAUUGCAUAUUUGUGCCUUUUGGGUGUACUUGCUCGUAUGGUAGGUUAACAUCAAUUUCGGUCAUCAUAAAAUGACGGGAGGAAUGUAGCUUCGAUCUCGGUUGAAGUGUUAUAGCCUCUGGUAGAUGUGAUGAUCGGGAUUGAGGAUUGCAACGAAUACCUUUUAGGCUACCCGCCUGAUCUCUGAUGGUUGCUAUGGUGCCGAAAGCUUGCUUAUGGUUAUCAGAGUUGAUUGUCAAAAGGUUAGAACGGGUUAAAUUCGUUAAGGAUGUUGACGUAAUGGCUUUAAACGA
rnacentral:rRNA from 1 species